UGGUAUUAAUUUGAGUGCAGCAACAGUGACAUAAUAGCCUAUGGAUUGGUUAGUAAUUAUACCAUCAUUGAUUACUUCAGUUUUUCUAAUUUGGAUAAUAUAUGUUUGACUUAGUGUAGCUCAUGUCAUCCAUCUGUUUUUGAAGCAUGUACGUGUGCCAUUUUGUGAUCGUCCAAGUAUGCAAAUAAAACAAUUCAGUCUGAGUCAUUCAUAUUAUUUUCUAUAUAAUCGUUGGAUCACACAGUCCUUGCUUUUCUCAUACUUCGAUCAUACAGUAUCAGUUAGCCGUCUAAGAAGUCAUAGCGAUUACGAGGUCAUGGAGGUAUAUGCCAUGAACUAAUGUAGUGAAAUCCGUUUAUUUUGGGGUACUUUGGUCAUGCAUGUUUUUCUGCUAUUAGUCAUUAUUAAGGUAGAAUCUUAUUAUCUUUAGUUCCAAAUCAUUUCGGAUUCGUGAUUUCAGGGUGCAGGUGGAAGGUAUCAAAUCUGCUUCUGCCUCCAUGGUGCCUGCAAUGGCGGUAAGGACGAUAUCUAUCUUCGGCAGUGACUAUGCCAACAUCCUCACCUCCCAAACCCCCGUCUCAUUCUCAUGUCACGCACUUAAAGUUUCAUCAUUCGCUUCCACACCUCAACUGUCUCAGCGGGUGCCCCUCCAGCAGCAACACGACGGCAACAGGACAUCAUGGCCCUCAAGUUCUCGGUUUAUACGUGCAAUCAAGGCUGGAGCGUCCCUUCUCCUAUCCUCACAAAGUUCAUGGAGAAUCUAAAUUAAUGAGGAUCAUAUCAUUAGCAUAUUUGGCAAUCUGACAAGUCGAGUGCCAGUUUGUUAGGAUAGAACCAUACGAUUUACUGUGGAUCAGAAUUGGAAAGAUCCGCUUUAUUCAUUUGCAUAUAUUACCACACGUACAAGAGUUUAUGGAUGACGAGAAGUGGAGGACCGGUGGCAAUCCAAUAGUAUUUGAGAACAACGAUCCAUUAAUUAGUAUUUAGAAUUAUUUUGUUCUUAAACCUAUUCUACGUACCAAUGAAAUAUUGAUGAUUUUGAGUUG
rnacentral:lncRNA from 1 species